rnacentral:rRNA from 1 species
CCUACGGGAGGCAGCAGUGGGGAAUAUUGGGCAAUGGAGGAAACUCUGAACCAGCAACGCCGCGUGAAUGAUGAAGGUCUUCGGAUGGUAAAGUUCUUUUCUAAGGGAAGAAGAAUGUGACGGUACCUUAGGAAUAAGCCUCGGCUAACUACGUGCCAGCAGCAGCGGUAAUAAGUAGGAGGCAAGCGUUAUCCGGAAUGACUGGGCGUAAAGGGUGCGUAGGUGGUUGGUUAAGUUGGUAGCGUAACUCCGAGGCUCAACCUGGGCACUACUACCAAAACUGUCGGACUUGAGUGCAGGAGGAGUGACUGGAAUUUCUAGUGUAGCGGUGGAAUGCGUAGAUAUUAGGCGGAACACCAGUGGCGAAGGCGAGUUGCUGGACUGUAACUGACACUGAGGCACGAAAGCGUGGGGAGCAAACAGGAUUAGAUACCCCAGUAGUC